AUUGAACGCUGGCGGCAUGCUUUACACAUGCAAGUCGAACGGCAGCGCGGGCUUCGGCCUGGCGGCGAGUGGCGAACGGGUGAGUAAUACAUCGGAACGUGCCCAGUAGUGGGGGAUAGCUCGGCGAAAGCCGGAUUAAUACCGCAUACGACCUGAGGGUGAAAGCGGGGGAUCUUCGGACCUCGCGCUAUUGGAGCGGCCGAUGGCAGAUUAGCUAGUUGGUGGGGUAAAGGCCUACCAAGGCGACGAUCUGUAGCUGGUCUGAGAGGACGACCAGCCACACUGGGACUGAGACACGGCCCAGACUCCUACGGGAGGCAGCAGUGGGGAAUUUUGGACAAUGGGCGAAAGCCUGAUCCAGCAAUGCCGCGUGUGUGAUGAAGGCCUUCGGGUUGUAAAGCACUUUUGGCGGGAACGAAAAGGACUGUGCCAAUACCACAGUUCGAUGACGGUACCCGCAGAAUAAGCACCGGCUAACUACGUG
rnacentral:rRNA from 1 species